rnacentral:rRNA from 1 species
UACGUAGGGUGCGAGCGUUGUCCGGAAUUAUUGGGCGUAAAGGGCUCGUAGGCGGUUUGUCACGUCGGGAGUGAAAACUCAGGGCUUAACCCUGAGCCUGCUUCCGAUACGGGCAGACUAGAGGUAUGCAGGGGAGAAUGGAAUUCCUGGUGUAGCGGUGAAAUGCGCAGAUAUCAGGAGGAACACCAGUGGCGAAGGCGGUUCUCUGGGCAUUACCUGACGCUGAGGAGCGAAAGUGUGGGGAGCGAACAGG